UAAAAAAACAGGCCGAUAUAUGUACUUGCCGAAAUGAAAAAUUGCCAAAACUCUACCAAUAUUUAAAUUUAUGAUAUUAUUACAAAAAGGCACUUUUCGAAUUAAAAACAAAACUUUGCCGAAAUAUGUACUUGCCAGAAUCGGUAGUUAUGAUAUUCAAUAACAAAAAAAACAACAUAAAAAUAUGAUAUUAUCAAACUAAAAAUACACAAUAAACAAAUAAAAUGAACAAAAUUCACUAAUAAUCCGUCAAAACUAGAAAAAUACGUAAAUUACAAUAGAGCUUAAAAUAGCUUGAAUAUGAACACUUCACAGUAGAAAAAUCGAGCUUACAAUUUCAAUUUUC
rnacentral:lncRNA from 1 species